UAUUACUAUUACAUUAAAGCCAACAUAGGCUGACCAACCCUGAUACAGAAAGGAAUAAAGAGAUGCAUUAAGAAGGGAAUACUUUAACUCAGGGAAAGGACAAGGCAGGCAGAGUCAACAGUAACCAAAUUCUUUAAUGGCAAGUGGCAAGGUUCAGCUACUGAAGAAACAGCAAGCCUUGCUAGAGUCUGACAGUUUAUUACUUACAGAGAGAGCAAAGGAAAGGCAAAUUGCCAUAAGUCUUGUCCCAAGGGAAGACACAAAAAGAAGGCAGGAUAGAUAAAAGAUACAAUAAUGUGACAUAAGGAGUGGGGCACCCUGGUGCUGAGCUGCUGAUUCUCUAUUGCAGCUAAGCAACUCUGUGGCCUGCAGCCACUCCCUAAAGGGACUCACAGUGGAAAGUCUCAUAAUUCAUCAAAAUCCAGAGGCAAUGACAAACUGUCUCACAUCCUCCUUGAAAGAUAGGGAGACAAACAUGAAGUGGCCCAUGGAAGCUCCUGCAUGCCCCAUACCCUUGAGUUCCAGAGAGAUCACAGGGCACUCAUUCUAAAGCUUAGGUUGGCCUGAAUCACACUUGGCCAAAGUAGAUAAAAAAACAAGGUCAUCAGGUGUCAGCAGAGCUGUUCCACCGUAGAAACCAGCUUGGCAAUUCUAGGAAUGGACAAAGGUCUGUGAUCUCAAGUGCAGUACACGGGCAAGUGGAAACCAGCUGAGGUUGGAGAAGCAGUCAGGAAUCAAAUCAUUUCAGGUUUCUUUGCCACGGUAGGGAACGUGAAUUUUAUCUGAAGUGUGACAGAUAUCAAGACACACUCCCUGACUCUGAAAGAAACACUGUGACACAGCUGAAGAACGCUGGAUCGGUUUCUGUGCUGGCUAGCUCAAUCACCAUGAAGAAGUUCACUUCUUAGAAAUGAUGAAGAGAAACUGCCAACUACUUCAGAGUUUCUAGUGUUACAACUAUAGUGUAAAUGGCUGACACCAAGCUUCUGAUGGUCUAGACAUCCGUAUCAAAGACAUCCUUCUCAAAUAAAAAUAUUGCCAGCUAUAUAACACACUACCAGCAAAACUAGAUAAGAAACCAGGCCACCCUGACCCAUUAAAGUCCCCUUUUAGAAAGUCCUAGUAACCUAGUAAAUCGCCACUCAAGUGACCCUACUUUUCCCUUCUCAUGCUCUAACUCCCAGUUAUGUUUUUAAUUCACCAAUAAAGAAUGAA